AUGGACGACGCCAUCGACCUCGACGCCGCCGGCGGCCUCGCCUCCCUCGCCUCGUCCAGCGCCGCCGCGACCAAGACGAAGAAGCCUCGUGCCCCGCGCAAGACCGCUGCCGCGACCAAGCCGAAGAAGCCGCUGACGCCCGAACAGCGGGCAAGGGAGUCGGCCAAGAGGAAGGACCGGAGGCACGCCGCGGACGCGAGGGAUGAGGCAGCCGCGCAGGCCGCCGUCGCCGCCGUGCAGCAGGAGUUCACCAACGCCCGCGUCGCGGCGGCAACGAGGGAGGCACUCUACAUGCUAGGGGUAAACCCUAGCCAGCGCAGCCUCGUCCAAGCCGCCGUCGCCGUGGCCAGCACCGGCUCCUCGGCGUUUCCUCGGAUGGUGCUGCCCGACUCACCCCGCGCGUCGGUUUGCAACCCGAUCCCCGGCUUCCACGUCUACCCGCAGGCCUCCCGCCUCUCCGGGGAGUGCUCGCCCGACGUGAGCGUGGUCGCGCCUUCCACGCCCGCGCCCGCGCCCAUCGACCUCAACGCCACCCCGGUGGUCGGUGGCUCAUCAUCCGGCGGCUUGAGGAAACGCGCGCGGCAGACGCCGGACGACGGGCUCCCGGACGCCCGUAACCUGUUCGAGGAAAUGCCGUCCGCCGUCGACGAGGACUACAUGCGGAACCUCAUCUUCGAGGGUGGUGUUCCGGGCGCUGGCUACGAUCCUGACGAGACACAAAGCCAGGACGGCCGCGGGGCGUUCACGCCGGCCGCUGGCUAUGAUCCCGAUCAGGCGGCCUUCAUGCGUGAUCAGGUCGGCAUCGACCUGGACGGCUUCCCCCUUGACCACGAGUUCCCGGGAGACUACGGGCUAGAGGAAGAGGACGAGUGCGAUAUCGAAGUGGAGCCUUUGUUCGAGGACGAGCUCGCCAACCAAGCCGCCGGUCCUAAGCCGAAGCGCAAGAGCAAGCGCAUGAAGGCGUACACAGCUGCCGAGGACAAGCUUCUUUGCGAGUGUUGGCGCGACAUCGGACAAGACCCCAAGACGGGCGCCGAGCAAAAGCAUUCAACCUUUGGACUCGUGUCCACCGAGAGUUUCAUGAGCGCAAGAAGCAUUUCAAGCUUUGGAGGUAUUCAAGGUUCAACACAAUGGCAAGUGCUUCAACCUCUCCCAUUGUUAUCGGGUCAUCAAGGACGAGGAGAAGUUCAAGGCACAAAAUGCCGCACUCAAGGCACGUGGGGGAAGAAAGCCGUGGAGGAUGUUGGGGAGGGCGAGCCGGCACGGCCGCGGGGGAAGACCAACUCCAAGAAGGAGGACAAGCGAGAUGCGGCCACCAACGCCUUGAUCGCAAGCGUGGACGGCAUGAUGAAUAAGAAGGACUCAAGGGAGGAGGAGCGCCGACGUUUCAAGGCGGAGCAAAUGGAUGCUUUCAUGGAGAUCCAAAGGAGGAGGCUUGAUCUGGACGCCGAGAAGCAAACCAAGAUGUUUGAGCUCGAGGCGGAGAAGCAAGCCAAGAUGCUAGAGAUCGAGGCCGCCAACGCCAAGACCAAGGCCAAAGAAGUGGCUCUCGCAAGCAUGAUGACCGGGGUGGAGAUCAUGAAGGCGGAUCUCAACAGCGUGUCGCCAAGGAAGAGGCCGUGGUUCGAGAAGAUGCAGGCCAACAUACUCAAGUUCAACGACGAGUGA
rnacentral:rRNA from 1 species